CCAAACGCACGUCAACACACUGGAGAGAAAGUUAUUGGAAGGCCAUCCAAUACACAGAUCCAGAAAUACUGCAGCUUCAAGAAAAAUCUGCGCUAAUCCACCACUGUAUCCAGCAUCAACACCGAUUUAACAUUGGCAACCCCUCCAUCGUCGAUAUAACACAUAGGAAACAAGCUCUGCAAGUGUUGGAGAUGUGUCACAUCACGACAACCUCCAACACGGUCAACCAUCGGACUGAUACCGACAACCUAAGCUGUGCGUACGCACAUCUCCUCGCUUCGAUCAAAAAUCAGAGAGCAGAGAGAAUUGCGUCGUCAACAAACCGAAAUAAUCGACGAGAAACAGAUGAUCAAACAGCUGACCCAACUACCUAACCCACACUAACAAAUCCUAUCACCCAAAUUACACCAAAGAUACACACCCCACAGUAAAACCCGAACGGCGAUUGAUAACAGCCGUAGUGUUGUGUUCCGCUGAUUUCUUGUCUCGAGUGUCUCCCUUUCGUACCACCCACCCAAAAUCCCACUAGGGUGCUGGUGAUGAACGAGAAAAGUGCAGUGUCUUUUAGAAUCCGACAAACGAUCGUGUGCAAAAUACGAUUAUCACAAGUUGAUUAAGAUCAAGCCCUGAGGAAGAUCCCAACCCAAGGAUCGAAACGUUGGCAAUGAUAUAGAAGUAUCAACGCUUUUUCCGUGACUGAAAGCCGAAAAACUCCCAUAGUUAUCAAAAAUCCCAGUCGAAUCUUUU